rnacentral:rRNA from 1 species
AGUGAACGCUGGCGGUAGGCCUAACACAUGCAAGUCGAACGGCAGCACAGUAAGAGCUUGCUCUUACGGGUGGCGAGUGGCGGACGGGUGAGGAAUACAUCGGAAUCUACUUUUUCGUGGGGGAUAACGUAGGGAAACUUACGCUAAUACCGCAUACGACCUACGGGUGAAAGCAGGGGAUGUUCGGACCUUGCGCGAUUGAAUGAGCCGAUGUCGGAUUAGCUAGUUGGCGGGGUAAAGGCCCACCAAGGCGACGAUCCGUAGCUGGUCUGAGAGGAUGAUCAGCCACACUGGAACUGAGACACGGUCCAGACUCCUACGGGAGGCAGCAGUGGGGAAUAUUGGACAAAGGGCGCAAGCCUGAUCCAGCCAUACCGCGUGGGUGAAGAAGGCCUUCGGGUUGUAAAGCCCUUUUGUUGGGAAAGAAAAGCAGCAGGUUAAUACCCCGCUGUUCUGACGGUACCCAAAGAAUAAGCACCGGCUAACUUCGUG